GGUGGUUCUAGGAUUAUGCACCCCCGAAUCGGGCUCCCUAUUCUCUGGUUCCGGAGUGCGUGACCCAAGAACCGCU
rfam:Myotis lucifugus cont2.2665, whole genome shotgun sequence.